CAGAGGAGCUCCGUUCUCUCAGAGGCCGUUAGCAAACAGCUUGGACCUAGAAUGGCGGUCGGGUCAGGCAGGUCACCUGACUCUUUCAGAUGAUGAUGUCACAGCAGUGGUUCAAGGUUGCUGGAAACGUCUCAACACACUGCAGCACUAUAAGGUUCCAGAUGGAGCCACAGUAGCUCUGAUCCCUCAAACCAGUUCAGGAGGAAUCCACCAGGUGUUCCAGACUGGAGAAA